GAGUUGCAGACUGGGAAAUCUCUGCAGGCAAAUGUGGUGUCGCUAUAGUUAUCACACAAUUACCCGUAGAGAUUCUGCAAUCUGACAUC
rnacentral:pre_miRNA from 15 species